CCAGAUGAACACAAAAAAAUGGGGGGGAGACGAAUUAAGAUUUGUCGUGCCCAAUUGGAAAAAAAUAUGGGCCAGCAGUUGAAAUGUUCCCAUUUUUACAGGAAUAUCAAGCUAAAUUAGCUAAACAAGGUUUAAAAGAUCCAUGGAUCAGAAAUGAAGCAUGGAGAUAUAUGCCAGAGAAUGAUAUAGUCAAGGUCACAACAAAUUAAAAAGGACUAUUUUAGAAAUGUACCCUAUGCUUUGGGAGCAGCUGUAAUUUUUGCUGGCAUCAAAUAUGCAAUUACUCCAGCAGGAGAUCAUCACUAGGACUGUGCAGAAACAGAACCCAUUAAAAAAAACGGUUUAUACAAAUACCAUCUGAGUGACUAGGAAAUUGUUAAUUAACUUAAUAAGUAAAUAAAUGUGUGUAUAGAUA